rnacentral:rRNA from 1 species
GAUGAACGCUGGCGGCGUGCCUAAUACAUGCAAGUCGAGCGAACGGACGAGAAGCUUGCUUCUCUGAUGUUAGCGGCGGACGGGUGAGUAACACGUGGAUAACCUACCUAUAAGACUGGGAUAACUUCGGGAAACCGGAGCUAAUACCGGAUAAUAUUUUGAACCGCAUGGUUCAAAAGUGAAAGACGGUCUUGCUGUCACUUAUAGAUGGAUCCGCGCUGCAUUAGCUAGUUGGUAAGGUAACGGCCUACCAAGGCAACGAUGCAUAGCCGACCUGAGAGGGUGAUCGGCCACACUGGAACUGAGACACGGUCCAGACUCCUACGGGAGGCAGCAGUAGGGAAUCUUCCGCAAUGGGCGAAAGCCUGACGGAGCCACGCCGCGUGAGUGAUGAAGGUCUUCGGAUCGUAAAACUCUGUUAUUAGGGAAGAACAUAUGUGUAAGUAACUGUGCACAUCUUGACGGUACCUAAUCAGAAAGCCACGGCUAACUACGUG